UAGCCAUUUCGACCGUGCCACAACGAUGCCGACAGCUCUCUUUGCCACCCCUACAACGUGCUUGUUCAAGCAGCUCCUUUUCUUUCAGGUUUUGUGCUUAGAAAGAGUGACAUGAUGCAGGAUGGAGUUGCGAGGAGUUCCCGGACACGGUCAGAGAUGGCUGGAACAGUCGGAUGGAUUUGCAAUCAUGCAAUAAAUGCCCACAUAAGACGCCAUGGUCAAAUGGUUGGAGAUCGUUGAGAGUUUGCAGCUAUUGAUGAAAGUUGUUUCCUUAAUAAAAGCAAGUAUCACCACAGAAGGGCCGGUGCAACAUGGCGACGGAAAAAGUGGGUAUUAAGAAUAUUAGGAGUAGGUGACCGCCAGAAACAUCCUGUCUUGUGGCUGGUGUGGUUAAACAAGUGCGUCCGGGAACCACCGUCAUCAGUGACCAAUGGGGCACUUACAGGAGUGCAUUGACUGCGACAGGCUACAGGCACUUCACAGUGAACCACUGUCAGUAGUUUGCGGAUCCAAACACCUUGCGCGCCUCCCAGUAUGUCAACCCCAGCUUUCUCUGUGGACCAUGCAACUUGGACUUUCCGAGUUUCAUAUAGGACAAUGCAUCUUGCUCUGCAUCUGUAAACCAUGGAUUCAUCUUUUGGACAUUUUCAGGAGAAUGGCUGUGUGUGUGUGUGUGUGCG